rnacentral:rRNA from 1 species
GACGAACGCUGGCGGCGUGCUUAACACAUGCAAGUCGAACGCUGAACCCGCUUCGGUGGGGGAUGAGUGGCGAACGGGUGAGUAACACGUGGGCAACCUGCCCCCGGCUCUGGGAUAACUCCAAGAAAUUGGGGCUAGUACCGGAUGUGACCGCUGGCCGCAUGGUCUGGUGGUGGAAAGGGUUUCCGGCUGGGGAUGGGCCCGCGGCCUAUCAGCUUGUUGGUGGGGUAGUGGCCUACCAAGGCGACGACGGGUAGCCGGCCUGAGAGGGUGACCGGCCACACUGGGACUGAGACACGGCCCAGACUCCUACGGGAGGCAGCAGUGGGGAAUAUUGCGCAAUGGGCGGAAGCCUGACGCAGCGACGCCGCGUGGGGGAUGACGGCCUUCGGGUUGUAAACCUCUUUCAGCAGGGACGAAGCGCAAGUGACGGUACCUGCAGAAGAAGCACCGGCCAACUACGUG